GUGUGCAGUGCUUUUCACAAGAAAGUGUCAUUCAUGUGUACUGAAAUAUGAGUGGCAUUUUCUUGCGAAGAGCAAUGUACAG
rfam:Cavia porcellus supercont2_84 genomic scaffold, whole genome shotgun sequence.